GACGAACGCUGGCGGCGUGCUUAACACAUGCAAGUCGAACGGUGAAGCUCCAGCUUGCUGGAGUGGAUCAGUGGCGAACGGGUGAGUAACACGUGAGCAACCUGCCCCUGACUCUGGAAUAAGCGCUGGAAACGGCGUCUAAUACUGGAUACGAGAAGGGUCCGCAUGGGCACUUUCUGGAAAGUUUUUCGGUUGGGGAUGGGCUCGCGGCCUUUCAGCUUGUUGGUGAGGUAAUGGCUCACCAAGGCGACGACGGGUAGCCGGCCUGAGAGGGCGACCGGCCACACUGGGACUGAGACACGGCCCAGACUCCUACGGGAGGCAGCAGUGGGGAAUAUUGCACAAUGGGCGAAAGCCUGAUGCAGCGACGCCGCGUGAGGGAUGACGGCCUUCGGGUUGUAAACCUCUUUCAGCAGGGAAGAAGCGAAAGUGACGGUACCUGCAGAAGAAGCACCGGCUAACUACGUG
rnacentral:rRNA from 1 species